UUGAGAGUUAUCUCCACCAUGUGCUGAACAAAUUCAGUGAACCACUGCCCUGUCUUCUUGUCUAUUUUUUAGGGCACAAUCCAGUGAGGGGAUCUCUGCUCUCAAGCUUUUGCUGGUCCCUUGGUACCUCUGCAGUUUCUGUUGCGGUUUGAGUUCCUCUCUCAAUCCCCAGGUCGAUUUGCCCUUGUUCUUCACAGCCAACGCCCAACCUGGUGAUCAUACCCACCGAAACCAACACCCUGCUGUGGCCAAAGCGUUCCAGUGAGUUGCAUGCCCGUGUAGUCUUCGUUCCGUGGUCUUCAAAGAGGCAGGCUGCAUUAGAGGAGAGGACAAAAAGGUACUUUAUGCAAAGGCUGACUUGGGAAAACAAGUACAGGGAGCGUGUACAAUCUGCAAUACAGAAGUGUAAUGCUAGUGAGAAGAGACGAUUGGGGCUGCUUGAAUCUGAGAAAAGACGGGUACAGAGUAGGCUCUUGCAGAUUCAACUUGCUGUGAAGACUGCCUCUAACCAGAGAAAAUCUGAGAGGAGCAAGUUAAAUGAGCAAUUAGAAGAAAAGCUUCAGAAGCAUUUGGCGAGGCUAUGCUUCACACCAUUGGUUAUAUUUAUGUCCAGCAAGCAGCAAGAGAACUCGGAAAAAGUAGAGUUUACAUAGGUGUACCAUUUAUAGCUGAAUGAGUUAGAGACAAAGGACACCACAUUAAAUCACAGGUUAAUGCUGCUUCAGGUUCCAACAACUUGAUAAAGGAGCCAAGGUGGUAGUGGUCUUAUUCAAGCUGGUGGCCUUGCUGCAGAACUGGACGGUGAUGGUAUCACAGAAGGAUAAAGAAAGAGUGGCAGAGCUUAUCAGGAACAUGGUAAACAACAUUGAACAAAAUUAGAGUGUUGUUUUCUCUAUUGUGGUUGAAUUUUGGCUAGGUAGCAGGAGCCUGGUGUUGUUUUGCAUGAACUGCUGAAGGUAAAUGCAGCUGUGGUUGUAUAUUUGUCGCAUUUUUUUGCUGGUAGGUUUUUAGAUGAGUUUGCAUA